rnacentral:rRNA from 1 species
GAACUGAAGAGUUUGAUCAUGGCUCAGAUUGAACGCUGGCGGCAGGCCUAACACAUGCAAGUCGAGCGGAUGAUGGGAGCUUGCUCCCGGAUUCAGCGGCGGACGGGUGAGUAAUGCCUAGGAAUCUGCCUGGUAGUGGGGGACAACGUUUCGAAAGGAACGCUAAUACCGCAUACGUCCUACGGGAGAAAGCAGGGGACCUUCGGGCCUUGCGCUAUCAGAUGAGCCUAGGUCGGAUUAGCUAGUUGGUGGGGUAAAGGCUUACCAAGGCGACGAUCCGUAACUGGUCUGAGAGGAUGAUCAGUCACACUGGAACUGAGACACGGUCCAGACUCCUACGGGAGGCAGCAGUGGGGAAUAUUGGACAAUGGGCGAAAGCCUGAUCCAGCCAUGCCGCGUGUGUGAAGAAGGUCUUCGGAUUGUAAAGCACUUUAAGUUGGGAGGAAGGGCAGUAAGCUAAUA